GGCAGGACAUCUGCCUAUACCCUGGAAUAAGAAUAUACAGUCUCUUCUAGCACUGACAGUUGUCUCUUUAUGUCGGAUGAGCUAACAGCAGCCACUCCCAUACUGUCGGAUCCUGCUUCCCUUGCCAUAGCUGAUUAACCCAGGGAUGAACAUUCAUCCCAUCCGUACCACUUACUGGCCAUGUGUCUUGACUCCAGCCACUAUACCACUGAAGCCUCAGUUUCCUCAGCUGUGUAAUGGGACCAAAAAUCUCUGCCUUUCCUACUUUGCAGAGACAGUGACUGGACAAAUUGAGAAGAUGGAUGUAAAGAGUAACAUACAAAUAUCAGGUUUGCUCCUCAUUUUUAUUGCCUCUCCCCAGCAAUGGGUGUUUUUG
rnacentral:lncRNA from 1 species